UACGGGGGGGGGCAAGCGUUGUUCGGAAUUACUGGGCGUAAAGGGCUCGUAGGCGGCCAACUAAGUCGGACGUGAAAUCCCUCGGCUUAACCGGGGAACUGCGUCCCGAUACUGGAUGGCUUGAGUUCGGGAGAGGGAUGCGGAAUUCCAGGUGUAGCGGUGAAAUGCGUAGAUAUCUGGAGGAACACCGGUGGCGAAGGCGGCAUCCUGGACCGACACUGACG
rnacentral:rRNA from 1 species